GCUAACGUAGCUUACUAAAGCAUAACACUGAAGAUGUUAAGACGAGCCCUAGAAAGCUCCGUAAGCA
rnacentral:tRNA from 1 species